GACGAACGCUGGCGGCGUGCUUAACACAUGCAAGUCGAACGGAAAGGCCCUGCUUUUGUGGGGUACUCGAGUGGCGAACGUGUGAGUAACACGUGAGUAACCUGCCCUUGACUUUGGUAUAACUUCAGGAAACUGGCGCUAAUACCGGAUAGGUGCUCCUGCUGCAUGGUGGGGGUUGGAAAGUUUCGGCGGUUGGGGAUGGACUCGCGGCUUUUCAGCUUGUUGGUGGGGUAGUGGCUUACCAAGGCUUUGACGGGUAGCCGGCCUGAGAGGGUGACCGGCAACAUUGGGACUGAGGUACAGCCCAGACUGCUACGGGAGGCAGCAGAGGGGGAGAUUGCACAAGGGGCGGAAGCCUGAUGCAGGAACGCAGCGUGCGGGAUGACGGCCUUCGGGUUGUAAACCGCUUUCGCCUGUGACGAAGCGUGAGUGACGGUAAUGGGUAAAGAAGCACCGGCUAACUACGUG
rnacentral:rRNA from 1 species